AGUUUGAUCCUGGCUCAGGAUGAACGCUGGCGGCGUGCCUAACACAUGCAAGUCGAGCGAUUCUCUUCGGAGAAGAGCGGCGGACGGGUGAGUAACGCGUGGGUAACCUGCCCUGUACACACGGAUAACAUACCGAAAGGUAUGCUAAUACGAGAUAAUAUGCUUUUAUCGCAUGGUAGAAGUAUCAAAGCUUUUGCGGUACAGGAUGGACCUGCGUCUGAUUAGCUAGUUGGUAAGGUAACGGGCUUACCAAGGCGACGAUCAGUAGCCGACCUGAGAGGGUGAUCGGCCACAUUGGAACUGAGACACGGUCCAAACUCCUACGGGAGGCAGCAGUGGGGAAUAUUGCACAAUGGGCGAAAGCCUGAUGCAGCAACGCCGCGUGAGCGAUGAAGGCCUUCGGGUCGUAAAGCUCUGUCCUCAAGGAAGAUAAUGACGGUACUUGAGGAGGAAGCCCCGGCUAACUACGUG
rnacentral:rRNA from 1 species